GUCCCUGUAGCGCAAUGGAUAGUGCUUUGGACAUCUGAUACAACGGUCGUGUGUUAUCGAAUCCCACCAGGGAUG